rnacentral:rRNA from 1 species
GGGGUAGAGCACUGUUUCGGCUAGGGGGCCAUCCCGGCUUACCAACCCGAUGCAAACUGCGAAUACCGGAGAAUGUUAUCACGGGAGACACACGGCGGGUGCUAACGUCCGUCGUGAAGAGGGAAACAACCCAGACCGCCAGCUAAGGUCCCAAAGUCAUGGUUAAGUGGGAAACGAUGUGGGAAGGCCCAGACAGCCAGGAUGUUGGCUUAGAAGCAGCCAUCAUUUAAAGAAAGCGUAAUAGCUCACUGGUCGAGUCGGCCUGCGCGGAAGAUGUAACGGGGCUAAACCAUGCACCGAAGCUGCGGCAGCGACACUGUGUGUUGUUGGGUAGGGGAGCGUUCUGUAAGCCUGUGAAGGUGUGUCGUGAGGC